CCGAGUUUACAACUCCCAAACCCAAUGUGAACGUUACCAAACUGUUGCCUCGGCGGGGUCACGCCCCGGGUGCGUAAAAGCCCCGGAACCAGGCGCCCGCCGGAGGAACCAACCAAACUCUUUCUGUGGUCCCCUCGCGGACGUAUUUCUUACAGCUCUGAGCAAAAAUUCAAAAUGAAUCA
rnacentral:misc_RNA from 1 species